rnacentral:rRNA from 1 species
CAGUUCGGAUCGCAGUCUGCAACUCGACUGCGUGAAGGUGGAGUCGCUAGUAAUCGCGGAUCAGCAACGCCGCGGUGAAUGCGUUCCCGGGCCUUGUACACACCGCCCGUCAAGUCAUGAAAGUGGGCAGCACCCGAAGACGGUGGCCUAACCCUUGUGGGGGGAGCCGUCUAAGGUGAGGCUCGUGAUUGGGACUAAGUCGUAACAAGGUAAC